rnacentral:rRNA from 1 species
UACGAAGGGGGCUAGCGUUGCUCGGAAUCACUGGGCGUAAAGCGCACGUAGGCGGGCUCUUAAGUCGGUGGUGAAAUCCUGGAGCUCAACUCCAGAACUGCCUUCGAUACUGAGAGUCUCGAGUCCGAGAGAGGUGAGUGGAACUGCGAGUGUAGAGGUGAAAUUCGUAGAUAUUCGCAAGAACACCAGUGGCGAAGGCGGCUCACUGGCUCGGUACUGACGCUGAGGUGCGAAAGCGUGGGGAGCAAACAGG